ACGGGUGAGUAACACGUGGGAAUUUGCCCUAUGGUACGGAAUAACACAGAGAAAUUUGUGCUAAUACCGUAUGUGUCCUUCGGGAGAAAGAUUUAUCGCCAUAGGAUAAGCCCGCGUCCGAUUAGCUAGUUGGUGAGGUAAUGGCUCACCAAGGCGACGAUCGGUAGCUGGUCUGAGAGGAUGAUCAGCCACACUGGGACUGAGACACGGCCCAGACUCCUACGGGAGGCAGCAGUGGGGAAUAUUGGACAAUGGGCGCAAGCCUGAUCCAGCCAUGCCGCGUGAGUGAUGAAGGCCUUAGGGUUGUAAAGCUCUUUCGCCUGCGAGGAUAAUGACGGUAGCAGGAUAAGAAGCCCCGGCUAACUUCGUGCCAGCAGCCGCGGUAAUACGAAGGGGGCUAGCGUUGUUCGGAAUCACUGGGCGUAAAGCGCACGUAGGCGGACUUUUAAGUCAGAGGUGAAAGCCUGGAGCUCAACUUCAGAACUGCCUUUGAUACUGGAAGUCUUGAGUCCGGUAGAGGUGAGUGGAACUGCUAGUGUAGAGGUGAAAUUCGUAGA
rnacentral:rRNA from 1 species